AUUGAACGCUGGCGGCAGGCCUAACACAUGCAAGUCGAGCGAGCGGCGGACGGGCGAGUAAUGUACGGGGACUGCCCGACAGAGUGGGAUAACUACGGCAAACGGUAGCUAAUACAGCAUACUAUCGGAAAACCUCUAUUGGAUUACCUUGUAGGUGAGGUAAGGGCUCCCCUAGGCCACGACCCCUAGCUGGGCUGAGAGGAUGAUCAGCCCCACUGGGACGGAGACACGGCCCGGUCUCCUCCGGAGGCAGCAGUGGGGAAGAUUGCACCAGGGGCGCAAGCCUGAUGCAGCCAUGCCGCGUGUAUGAAGAAGGCCCUGGGGUUGUAAAGUACUUUCAGUCGGGAGGCGUUACCGACAGAAGAAGCACCGGCUAACUCCGUGCCAGCAGCCGCGGUAAUAC
rnacentral:rRNA from 1 species